rnacentral:rRNA from 1 species
CCUACGGGUGGCAGCAGUGAGGAAUAUUGGUCAAUGGGCGCGAGCCUGAACCAGCCAAGUCGCGUGAGGGAGGACGGCCCUACGGGUUGUAAACCUCUUUUGCCGGGGAGCAACGGGCGCCACGUGUGGCGUCACUGAGAGUACCCGGAGAAAAAGCAUCGGCUAACUCCGUCCCAGCAGCGGCGGUAAUACGGAGGAGGCGAGCGUUAGCAGGAUUGAUUGGGUUUAAAGGUGGCGUAGGCGGUUCGUAAAGUCAGGGGUCAAAUUGCGGGGCUCAACCCCUUCCCGCCAUUGCAACUGGCGUUCUUGCGUGGACGCGCAGUAUGCGGAAUGCGUGUUGUAGCGGUGAACUGCAUAGAUAUCACGCAGAACCCCGAUUGCGAAGGCAGCAUGCCGGCUUCCGACUGACGCUGAAGCACGAAAGCGUGGGGAUCGAACAGGAUUAGAUACCCUUGUAGUC